rnacentral:lncRNA from 1 species
UUUUUGUUUUUGUUUUUUUUUAAUUGGCAAGUUGUGAGCUGUUGUGAGCUAAUUAAUUAGCAGGGUAGCAUUGGUUUCAUUCUUGCGAGGCGAGCGAGCGAGCGAGUCAAGUGCGUGCGUCGUGGUAGUGCCGCUGGAGGCCGGGCGAGCGCGGAAUUUCUUCUCCUAUCGACUUCUCGCUGUUGUGGAUUAGCUUUUGAGGUGGGUUAAUCGUCGGUUCGCUCCUAAGUAUAUUUGUAUAGUCGGCAUAUAUGCGUAAUAGCAUUUUGAAUAUCGCAUUUGCUCGAUUCAUGGAUUUAGCAUAGUUAUGAAUAAAAUCUGAAUUGGAGCCUUGUUCUUGACUAUAUCUAUUAGCACAUGUUGGACUUGGAUAUGACAUAGGAGAAAACCAGUGUUUUGGACCUGUCACCUGCUUACACUACCAGAUUUAGCUCUAGGAGCCGUUAUUAUUUUGUAUUGCCGCAGUAUAAGUGUGGUGGAUACCCCAGAUAGUGUAGGUUGCUGUUACGCUCGUGCUGGGAUGCCGAGCCUAUUUUUACAGUAGAGUUUAGACUGUUCCAGACUGUUGGGUGCCGUCGGAGCUGACGGUGGAUCCGGAUUGCCGUUCUGGCAUCAGAUUGUGCUGAGAGCACGUGACUUGUUUGGUGGUAGACCAUUUGGACCCUAUGUACUUGACUAUAGCCUGCGAGAGCCUGACUGAGCUCGACAAAGAUACGCUUGUAUACUCGGCUGGGUAGCGCCCACGAGUGCCACUCUGAAGUCGGGCUUAGUGCUUCUGCGUUGAUGUCGAGGUGUCCUAUUUGGACUUGCUAUCCACAGACUGCUUAGUGUAGAGGUAGCUUUAGCUUCGACAGGCGGGACGGGUAUGUUCACAGUCCCUGGGACGGGUAUGAUUACAGUCCCGAGUGAGAUUGGGUCAGGGUUGACAUCUUCUAUAGAUUGUUAGUGUUAGAGCAUGAUAGUAUAGAUAUUUUUAGCUGUAGAUU